GCACACACUAUUACAAGAAUCUUCGCAUUUUCAGAUUUGUCCGCAGUCAACAAUCACAACUUUUUUCCUGGGCUCCCCUGAAUCGGUCCCAACCAUUUCAGUCG
rnacentral:ribozyme from 1 species